rnacentral:rRNA from 1 species
UGAGGAAUAUUGGACUAUGGGCGCAAGCCUGCUCCAGCCAUGCCGCGUGCAGGAAGAAGCAUCUAUGGUGUGUAAACUGCUUUUGUACGGGAAGAAACACUCCUGCGUGAAGGAGCUUGACGGUACCGUAAGAAUAAGGAUCGGCUAACUCCGUGCCAGCAGCCGCGGUGAUACGGAGGAUCCAAGCGUUAUCCGGAAUCAUUGGGUUUAAAGGGUCCGUAGGCGGUUUAGUAAGUCAGUGGUGAAAGCCCAUCGCUCAACGAUGGAACGGCCAUUGAUACUGCUAGACUUGAAUUAUUAGGAAGUAACUAGAAUAUGUAGUGUAGCGGUGAAAUGCUUAGAUAUGACAUGGAAUACCGAUUGCGAAGGCAGGUUACUACUAAUGGAUUGACGAUGAGGGACGAAAGCGUGUGGAGCAAACA